UGCCGGAUACGCAUGGAACCGCAUGGUUCCGUUGUGAAAGGCGCUGCAAGGCGCACUAAAAAAGAUGAGGGGGUGCGGAACAUUAGUUAGUUUGGUGAGGUAAUGGCCCACCAAGACUAUGAUGUUUUAGCCGGGUCGAGAGACUGAACGGCCCACCAUUGGGACUGAGAUACGGCCCAAACUCCUACGGGAGGCAGCAGUAGGGAAUAUUCCACAAUGAGCGAAAGCUUGAUGGAGCGACACAGCGUGCACGAUGAAGGUCUUCGGAUUGUAAAGUGCUGUUAUAAGGGAAGAACAUUUGCAAUAGGAAAUGAUUGCAGACUGACGGUACCUUGUCAGAAAGCGAUGGCUAACUAUGUGCCAGCAGCCGCGGUAAU
rnacentral:rRNA from 1 species